rnacentral:rRNA from 1 species
CACCGCCCGUCACAUCACGAAAGUGGACUGUACUAGAAGUCGGUGCGCUAACCCGCAAGGGAGGCAGCCGCCCAAGGUAUAGUCCAUGAUUGGGGUG